rnacentral:rRNA from 1 species
UACGGGGGGGGCAAGCGUUGUUCGGAAUUACUGGGCGUAAAGGGCUCGUAGGCGGCCAACUAAGUCCGACGUGAAAUCCCCAGGCUUAACCUGGGAACUGCGUCGGAUACUGGAUGGCUUGAAUUCGGGAGAGGGAUGCGGAAUUCCAGGUGUAGCGGUGAAAUGCGUAGAUAUCUGGAGGAACACCGGUGGCGAAGGCGGCAUCCUGGACCGGCAUUGACGCUGAGGAGCGAAAGCCAGGGGAGCAAACGGG